GCCCUUAGAGUUUGAUCCUGGCUCAGGACGAACGCUGGCGGCGCGCCUAACACAUGCAAGUCGAACGAGCGAGAGGAGGUUUACUUUCUCAAGCGAGUGGCGAACGGGUGAGUAACGCGUGAGGAACCUGCCUCAAAGAGGGGGACAACAGUUGGAAACGACUGCUAAUACCGCAUAAGCCCACGACCCGGCAUCGGGUAGAGGGAAAAGGAGCAAUCCGCUUUGAGAUGGCCUCGCGUCCGAUUAGCUAGUUGGUGAGGUAAUGGCCCACCAAGGCGACGAUCGGUAGCCGGACUGAGAGGUUGAACGGCCACAUUGGACUGAGACACGGCCCAGACUCCUACGGGAGGCAGCAGUGGGGAAUAUUGCACAAUGGGGGAAACCCUGAUGCAGCGACGCCGCGUGGAGGAAGAAGGUCUUCGGAUUGUAAACUCCUGUUGUUGAGGAAGAUAAUGACGGUACUCAACAAGGAAGGACGGCUACUCUG
rnacentral:rRNA from 1 species